rnacentral:rRNA from 1 species
UACGAAGGGGGCUAGCGUUGUUCGGAAUUACUGGGCGUAAAGCGUGCGCAGGCGGCUUCUCAAGUCAGGGGUGAAAGCCCCAGAGCUCAACUCUGGAAUUGCCUUUGAGACUGAGUGGCUUGAGUACGAGAGAGGUGAGUGGAAUUCCCAGUGUAGAGGUGAAAUUCGUAGAUAUUGGGAAGAACACCGGUGGCGAAGGCGGCUCACUGGCUCGUAACUGACGCUCAUGCACGACAGCGUGGGGAUCAAACAGG